UGGGGAAUUUUGGACAAUGGGCGAAAGCCUGGUCCAGCCAUGCCGCGUGAGUGAAGAAGGCCUUCGGGUUGUAAAGCUCUUUUAGUCGGAAAGAAAGAGUUGCAAUGAAUAAUUGUGAUUUAUGACGGUACCGACAGAAAAAGCACCGGCUAACUACGUGCCAGCAGCCGCGGUAAUACGUAGGGUGCGAGCGUUAAUCGGAAUUACUGGGCGUAAAGGGUGCGCAGGCGGUCUUGCAAGUCAGAUGUGAAAGCCCCGGGCUUAACCUGGGAAUUGCGUUUGAAACUACAAGGCUAGAGUGCAGCAGAGGGGAGUGGAAUUCCAUGUGUAGCAGUGAAAUGCGUAGAGAUGUGGAAGAACACCGAUGGCGAAGGCAGCUCCCUGGGUUGACACUGACGCUCAUGCACGAAAGCGUGGGGAGCAAACA
rnacentral:rRNA from 1 species